UACGAAGGGUGCAAGCGUUACUCGGAAUUACUGGGCGUAAAGGGUGCGUAGGUGGUGAUGCAAGUCUGGUGUGAAAUCUCGGAGCUCAACUCCGAAAUUGCACCGGAUACUGCGUGACUCGAGGACUGUAGAGGAGAUCGGAAUUCACGGUGUAGCAGUGAAAUGCGUAGAUAUCGUGAGGAAGACCAGUUGCGAAGGCGGAUCUCUGGGCAGUUCCUGACACUGAGGCACGAAGGCCAGGGGAGCAAACGGG
rnacentral:rRNA from 1 species